AUGUAUUGCUUGAUGAAAGGUUACAUGUUUAGGCCUUUAUCUACCGAUUACAAUUUAUUAGGAAUUACGAUUUAUGAAUUAUAAAACGCGCAUACAUCACGUUUCAAAACGUGCUGACGUUUACCUCAAGCGUGCGCUUACGAACGCGCGGUUAACGGUUACCCGGAAGCGGUUUAUUGUGUAAGAAGUUUAACAUAUUACUAGUGUUUUUCUCACAAACACCUUAUAGUUUCGCUUCAGAAAACAUUGGUUCAUCAACUGCAGCCGUAUGGAUAAGAGUUGUGUUCGUUUGUCCUGUGUUUUAAGCGUCAACUUGGAAGACCCUUCUAUGUACAAUAAAUAAAUCAGAAAUAAACUCCGAGAUGGAUUAUUUUUCUACAAGUCUCAUCUGGGUCCCCAUGAAGGUGUCCGGUAUAUCCAGGCAGACACAGACAAUUGCCUGUUAUGUGAUGACAGGAGGAGGCAUGUACACAUUGUGGACAGUGAAGGCUGCACUUCUCUCCAAAUAGACCAGCACUACACACUAUAGAGAAGAGAAGAGAGCACUGUCUAAACCAGCUCUAAUGUGACCUGAGCUCUCAGAGAUGCUGAUGGAUGCACGCACAGGUAUAUAUAUAUAUAUAUAUAUUAUAUAUACUCACUGUGUUGACACUGAGCUCCCCAGAAUCCGGGUUUGCACAGGCAGGUUCCUGUAUGUGCCUGACAGGUGGCGCCGUUGAGGCAGGAGCAGGUCUGGUUGCACUGAAGGCCCCACGUUCCCUCUGGACACUGCUGUGUACAGCGCAGACCUGCAGAAGAAAUUGGAUGAGUUGCCUAAACUGUCAGGUGCUGUUUGAGGUCUAGUGCCUUAUUCUUACUUUAAACUUUUUUUAUUUUCAUCAGAUUCAAUAUAUACCAUAUACUGGAUUUUUCUAGUUUUUUAACGAUUUUAAACAAGAUAUCUCCCAGCCUCAGAUAUGUAUUUUUAUGACUCUCUGACAGGUGUACAUACUGUAGAGAUUUCAAAAUUACCAUUAUUAUAUUUACAUAUGCAUCACUUGAAUCUCAAACAUAAAAAUCAGGGUCAAGCUCAGCUCAAUAUAAUAAUAAAUAUAGGGUUUAAUAUUAAUAAUAUAUUAAUAUAAUAGUAUAAUAAAGAUCUACACUGCAUUAUGGGUGAUAUCAAUGGAGAGGAAUAAUUAAAUAUGCACAGAAGGUCACACUACUCAUACUAUCUUUGUAGUAUGCAAUAUCUGAAACAUUCACAGUAUGCACAUUUUCUGUAGAUAUGCAAACUUUACAUACACAUUUGCUGAUAUAGACCAGUGCAUACUGCACAGAAUACUGUAUCCCAUAAUGCAAUACGCUUGGCUUUUCCUUUUAUUUCCUGAGUGACUGAGUGCUUCACUCAUUAUUUAAUCAGCCAGAAACUGCUUCUGCUUUAAACAUUUAUCACUGCAUACUGUAUACUGUUUUUGCAUAUUGAAUAAAGUCCUACCUGUCCAGCCAGGUAAACACAGACA